AACGAACGCUGGCGGCAUGCCUAACACAUGCAAGUCGAGGGGCAGCAUAGGAGUCAUUUCGGUGGUUUUGGUGGCGACCGGCGGACGGGUGCGUAACGCGUAUGCAACCUACCCGUAACAGGGGGAUAAUCCGGAGAAAUCUGGUCUAAUAUUCCAUAAUAUUAAUAAUGGCAUCAUUAUUAGUUGAAACCUCAGGGGGUUACGGAUGGGCAUGCGUUGUAUUAGGUAGUUGGUAGGGUAACGGCCUACCAAGCCUACGAUACAUAGGGGGACUGAGAGGUUAGCCCCCCACACUGGUACUGAUACACGGACCAGACUCCUACGGGAGGCAGCAGUGAGGAAUAUUGGUCAAUGGACGCAAGUCUGAACCAGCCAUGCCGCGUGCAGGAUGACGGCUCUAUGAGUUGUAAACUGCUUUUUCACCAGGGUAAUUACGGGUACGUGUACCCGUUUGAAAGUAUGGUGAGAAUAAGGAUCGGCUAACUCCGUGCCAGCAGCCGCAGUAACAC
rnacentral:rRNA from 1 species